rnacentral:rRNA from 1 species
UCCAGACUCCUACGGGAGGCAGCAGUGGGGGAUAUUGCACAAUGGGGGGAACCCUGAUGCAGCGACGCCGCGUGGGUGAAGAAGUAUUUCGGUAUGUAAAGCCCUCUCGGCAGGGAAGAAAUUGGACGGUACCUGCAAAGGAAGCACCGGCUAACUCCGUGCCAGCAGCCGCGGUAAUACGGAGGGUGCGAGCGUUAAUCGGAAUUACUGGGCGUAAAGCGCUCGUAGGCGGUAUGUCAAGUCAAGGGUGAAAUCCCCGCGCUCAACGUGGGAACUGCCUUUGAAACUGGCAAACUGGAGUGUGUGAGAGGAUAGUGGAAUUCCAGGUGUAGGAGUGAAAUCCGUAGAUAUCUGGAGGAACAUCAGUGGCGAAGGCGACUAUCUGGCACAUAACUGACGCUGAGGAGCGAAAGCGUGGGUAGCAAACAGGAUUAGAUACCCGCGUAC